UGAACGCUGGCGGCGUGCCUAAUACAUGCAAGUCGAGCGAACGGACGAGAAGCUUGCUUCUCUGAUGUUAGCGGCGGACGGGUGAGUAACACGUGGAUAACCUACCUAUAAGACUGGGAAAACUUCGGGAAACCGGAGCUAAUACCGGAUAAUAUUUUGAACCGCAUGGUUCAAAAGAAAAAAACGGUUUUGCUGUCACUUAUAGAUGGAUCCGCGCUGCAUUAGCUAGUUGGUAAGGUAACGGCUUACCAAGGCAACGAUGCAUAGCCGACCUGAGAGGGUGAUCGGCCACACUGGAACUGAGACACGGUCCAGACUCCUACGGGAGGCAGCAGUAGGGAAUCUUCCGCAAUGGGCGAAAGCCUGACGGAGCAACGCCGCGUGAGUGAUGAAGGUCUUCGGAUCGUAAAACUCUGUUAUUAGGGAAGAACAUAUGUGUAAGUAACUGUGCACAUCUUGACGGUACCUAAUCAGAAAGCCACGGCUAACUACGUG
rnacentral:rRNA from 1 species